AACCCUCGCCUUAGUUGCCAGCAUUAAGUUGGGCACUCUAGAGGGACUGCCGGUGUCAAACCGGAGGAAAGGUGGGGAUGACGUCAAGUCCUCAUGGCCUUUAUGACCAGGGCUACACACGUACUACAAUGGCCGGCACAAAGGGCAGCAAGCCUGCGAAGGUAAGCUAAUCCCGAAAAGCCGGUCUCAGUCCGGAUUGGAGUCUGCAACUCGACUCCAUGAAGUUGGAAUCGCUAGUAAUCGCGGAUCAGCACGCCGCGGUGAAUACGUUCCCGGGCCUU
rnacentral:rRNA from 1 species